rnacentral:lncRNA from 1 species
CCAACUGAAAGUUAAUUAAAAUGAAGUAGUAAUAAGUUCAAGUAGAAAUGAUAAAUAAGUCAGAGUGUUUGCAGCGAAAAAAAACGUGUGAGUUAUGCAUAUGGAGAUGCAUACUCAAGGUUUCAUUACAUAAACAUCAAAAGGGAAAUCCGCUCAACACCGAUCCAUUCCAUCGCUUGCUCAACCUGCACAUUUAGAAAUACAUGCAGGGCUGAGUAUAAAAAUACUCAGUGACAUAAGCCGAAAAUACAACAUGCAUACAUAUAUAAAUUGAACUGCCAACAGUAACACACAGGGGUUUUCUUGAAUGACCUGCGCUUACUAAAACAUUUCAUUCAUUUUCAUAAAGGUGGAUGCGCAUCCCAUUUUCAGUCUAUAUGAUCCAUAUCUGUCCUUUCUGUCACGCGCCGGGAAGGAGGCCUCCUUACCACGGACGCCAAGACCGGUCGCAAGCGACUCGCGGUCUCCAUGAGUGUACACGUUAACCCUAGCUAGCGACCUUUGUCUAGCAUAGGAUCCCAAUUGGAUUUCCUUUAAAGUUGGCGAACCAACACAGAUAGGAUACAUAUAAAAACAUAAACAUUUUUGGCAGUCAAUCAUUUCAUAAACAUUUCAUUUCAUUUCAUGAACAUUUCAUUUUCAUUUCAUAAGAGUCAUUUAUCAUUUGGGCAUAAUAAUAAACUGAAAUUAACAGUUAAAAUCAUCUCAUGCAUAUAUUCGUAUAAGAGGCCUACGACACACAGGGGAUCUCUAUAUACGUAUAGUAUAAAGUAAUGCCCACCUCAAUUGUUCUUAAAGCUGGCGUGGAGUCGUUUCUUCUUCGGCUUCACUUUCUGUCGCCCGGACCUUCAUUGAUGAAGAGUCGAUAAGUUCGUGAAGAAAUUGUCAUAAGACAAAGUCUAAUUCUACGUGCCUAGGGUAUCUUUUAAUGUUUUAGGGUUCUAGCAUCCAUAAUUUGUUACAUUAAAGACAGUCAAAAAUCAAUCAUACCUCGUCUAAUCUCAUUCAAACACAUAGGCAACACAAACACAUAAGACACAUAAGAAUCACAAUCAAACAUCAUCAAAAUGCUCUGUUUUUACACUGACUCAACUUCAAAAUUUAAUCUGUUCUGACUCCGACAUCUCCUGGACUCGAGACUCAUACCGAAAGAAAGAUCUUCGAGUCUAGUUUCAUAUAAAAAAAAGUAGAGUCGAAAACUCCAAGUGGUUUGAGAGAUAUGACGUUUUUACCACGAUCUACCAUGUUCGGCAGUUUUGAACAAUCGAAAACUUGGAUUUUUGAAAAAUAGUAAACGUUGUCAAACUGGGCUCAACUUUGGUGGAUAUCUACCUAACACAAUAAGGUUAAUACCAUAAAAAUGUGGAAAGCUAGAUCACACAGGAAGCUACUGAAAUGAAUGACUCUUUCCUCUGUUCUCUGAAAUUCUCGGUAGUAAUGUGCAGUUUAGGUUUUGCAUUUUAAAGAAGUAUCAAACGAAGUUGGAAUGGCUUGAAAUUUUACCAGGGUACUCAAGACUCAUGUAGGGACUUGCUAUAAAAUUAUCAAAGCUAUUAGACAUCGACAAACCGUCGAUCACAGUAGGUCAGUAGGCCUACGAAAUUCAUAUUUAUAAGUCCUUAAAAAAAUAAUUUAUAUAAAUAAAGAAAUAAGAGUUUAAUCCCAAAAAUAUUCAUUAAAAGUCCAUCAUAAUUUAAAUAAAAGAACGGACCUCAUUUUAAAUAAAUAGUCCCAAACUCGUUACGCACAUAUACUAAAUCUUUCAUGAAACAUCCUUUAAAAUAAACUUUGAUACAUAGAAAAUAAUUCAACAACUUGAGCUCUUAAGGGGUUGUUUUGCAACAGACAUCAAAUCUGCCUCGGAUCUCCAAAUGAGGCUCCAAAAGACAUUCUGGAAACUAGACAUUUCAAGGAUCAUUCUCCAAUUUGAAUCGAAUGAAAAAAAAUUCAAACGAGCAAGAUAUGCCCUCUCAAAGAUGGGUAUUUAACAAGCAAAAAUCUGAAAAUUUCAGAUUUCCAGAUUACAACCAAGUCAGUGGGCUUUCUUUAAAAAUUCAUAUCUCCCUUUACAAAACUCCACUGGGAACCCCAAGGGUCAAUCUGGAAACUAGGGAGAGAUCAUAACACUCUCCAGUUGGAUUUACUCCAAGAACAUUCAUGGUUUAGAAGAUAUGACUGUCUAAAUUUCAGUGCACAAAAAGAGUUCAAGUUUGGCAGAUUCAGAACAUAAAUCGGAAAAACCACUUUAGGCGUCACCAAAAAUUCUAAAACCGAACAAGUAAGUUCCCAACAUGUCAGUGAAUAUUCAGUAGAAAGAUAGGCUUGAGAAUCAAAUAUUUAAGUCGGCCUUUGCCACCUCAAAGUCGUAGGUUUGUAAAAUCUACUGGAUGGUACAAGGAAUAAGAACUAGAUUUCAAGAAUUUAUACCGGUUGUUUCCCUUACUCAAAAAUGGUGAGACCGAUGUCAAAAGAAAGAUACGGGAGUCUAGAGUGACAUAUUCAAGUUUCAAAGGUUUUCACCGAUUGAAACUUUACUUAUGGCCUCUCAAAGAUUGUUUACCAAAAAUGUAUUCCAGAUGGGCAGUGAUGUUUACAAAUUCAUAAAUAAAUCAUGCGAGCUCUAAAUCUUCUGAAAUUUUACCAUAGUAUAGAAAACAUAUUAGAGAUGAUACACAAUUAAUUUGGGAAUUUUUGGGAACCGUUUGGAUGGCUGGAAUCGCCUUGCAAAACACUUCCGAGCAGUGUGCUUAUGGCAGAUUCGCUGCCUUACCUCAUGCUACGGUUUUCACCCAUAACUCUACCAAAUAUCAUCCAAAUCAUAAACAUAUCCUCACAUAAUAUAGCACACAAAUGUGUAAAAAAUCCAUGGCCAUAAAGCAUUUUCAGUUGAGAAAAAGCAAAGAAAAACUCACCCUCGAAGCACAACCUUCACUCUAUAGUUUUCCCACACUCUCCC